rnacentral:rRNA from 1 species
CGUGUAGGCGGCUGAAUAAGUCAGAUGUGAAAUCCCUGGGCUUAACCCAGGACGUGCAUUUGAAACUAUUCGGCUUGAGUAAGGGAGAGGAAAGUGGAAUUCCUGGUGUAGAGGUGAAAUUCGUAGAUAUCAGGAGGAACACCGGUGGCGAAGGCGACUUUCUGGCCCUAUACUGACGCUGAGACGCGAGAGCGUGGGUAGCAAACAGGAUUAGAUACCCUGGUAGUCCACGCUGUAAACGAUGUUCACUAGGUGUUGGGGGUAUUGACCCUCUCAGUGCCGCAGCUAACGCAUUAAGUGAACCGCCUGGGGAGUACGGUCGCAAGAUUAAA